rnacentral:rRNA from 1 species
ACUCCUACGGGAGGCAGCAGUAAGGAAUAUUGGUCAAUGGGCGCAAGCCUGAACCAGCCAUGCCGCGUGCAGGAAGACGGCCCUAUGGGUUGUAAACUGCUUUUGUCAGGGAAUAAACCCCCGCUCGUGAGCGGGGCUGAAGGUACCUGAAGAAUAAGCAUCGGCUAACUCCGUGCCAGCAGCCGCGGUAAUACGGAGGAUGCAAGCGUUAUCCGGAUUCAUUGGGUUUAAAGGGUGCGCAGGCGGAUUGGUAAGUCAGGGGUGAAAUCCCACAGCUCAACUGUGGAACUGCCUUUGAUACUGUCAGUCUAGAGUAUAGUUGAAGUUGGCGGAAUGUGUCAUGUAGCGGUGAAAUGCUUAGAUAUGACACAGAACACCGAUCGCGAAGGCAGCUAGCUAAGCUAUAACUGACGCUCAUGCACGAAAGCGUGGGGAUCAAACCAGGAUUAGAUACCCUGGUAGUC